GAACGGCAGCACGGACUUCCGUCUGGUUCCGAGUGGCGAAGGGGUGAAUAAUGCAUCGGAACGUACCCAGUCGUGGGGGAUAACGUAGCGAAAGUUACGCUAAUACCGCAUACGACCUGCGGGAGAAAGCGGGGGAUCGCAAGACCUUGCGCGAUUGGAGCGGCCGAUGUCAGAUUACCCACUUUGUGGGGUAAAGGCCUACCAAGGCGA
rnacentral:rRNA from 1 species